GUUUGUAUGCUCAGGGUUCUGCAGAGUACAGGACCCUUGUGACAAAUCCAAACUUCCAAGUACAGAUGAAAACAACACUGAAUAAAUAUAAAUCACCAGUUACUGCAAAACAAAUAUUAAAGGUGACACAGCACUCCUGCUUGCUUUUGAACAAACCCCUUAUUAAGCCACCUUGUUCAUCAUCAAAGACUUAUCCUCAAAAUAAUAUUUCCUAUAUCCCAAGGAAAAUUCCACACAAAAACUGUUCUGAUUAUGCCUUUGUUUUCUCACUUAAAUCUUUUAUAUUGAAAUUUAAUCCCAUUCUCUUCUGUUUUCAGAAGGUUAUGUUUACAAUUAAACUCUUAAUCACUUGAAAAAUAAAUGAUCUUCAAACAUUGUACUUAAUACACAGUUAUUCUGUAUCUGUUUUAACCUCAUGUUUUAUGUCAAUCCUCAG
rnacentral:lncRNA from 1 species